rnacentral:rRNA from 1 species
UACGGAGGAUCCAAGCGUUAUCCGGAAUCAUUGGGUUUAAAGGGUCCGUAGGCGGUUUGGUAAGUCAGUGGUGAAAGCCCAUCGCUUAACGAUGGAACGGCCAUUGAUACUGCCAGACUUGAAUUACUGGGAAGUAACUAGAAUAUGUAGUGUAGCGGUGAAAUGCUUAGAUAUUACAUGGAAUACCAAUUGCGAAGGCAGGUUACUACCAGUGGAUUGACGGCUGACUGG